rnacentral:rRNA from 2 species
UUGGAGGGCAAGUCUGGUGCCAGCAGCCGCGGUAAUUCCAGCUCCAAUAGCGUAUAUUAAAGUUGUUGCAGUUAAAAAGCUCGUAGUUGAAUUUCGGGAUUGACAUAUCGGUCGUGCCUUAAGGGGUAUGAACUGGUGUAGUCAGUUUCUCACCUUCUGGAGAACCGCGAUGUCCUUAAUUGGGUGCCGCGAGGAACCAGGACCUUUACUUUGAAAAAAUUAGAGUGUUUAAAGCAGGCAUUUUGCUUGAAUACAUUAGCAUGGAAUAAUAAAAUAGGACGGAUGGUUCUAUUUUGUUGGUUUCUAGGAUCACCGUAAUGAUUAAUAGGGAUAGUUGGGGGCAUUAGUAAACAAUUGUCAGAGGUGAAAUUCUUGGAUUUAUUGAAGACUAACUACUGCGAAAGCAUUUGCCAAGGAUGUUUUCAUUAAUCAAGAACGAAAGUUAGGGGAUCGAAGACGAUCAGAUACCGUCGUAGUCUUAACCAUAAACUAUGCCGACUAGGAAUCAGACGAUGUUAAUUUUUUAAUGACUCUUUGGGGGGGGACGGGA